GGGUUGUGAGGUUAAGCGACUAAGCGUACACGGUGGAUGCCCUGGCAGUCAGAGGCGAUGAAGGACGUGCUAAUCUGCGAUAAGCGUCGGUAAGGUGAUAUGAACCGUUAUAACCGGCGAUUUCCGAAUGGGGAAACCCAGUGUGUUUCGACACACUAUCAUUAACUGAAUCCAUAGGUUAAUGAGGCGAACCGGGGGAACUGAAACAUCUAAGUACCCCGAGGAAAAGAAAUCAACCGAGAUUCCCCCAGUAGCGGCGAGCGAACGGGGAGGAGCCCAGAGCCUGAAUCAGUGUGUGUGUUAGUGGAAGCGUCUGGAAAGGCGCGCGAUACAGGGUGACAGCCCCGUACACAAAAAUGCACAUGCUGUGAGCUCGAUGAGUAGGGCGGGACACGUGGUAUCCUGUCUGAAUAUGGGGGGACCAUCCUCCAAGGCUAAAUACUCCUGACUGACCGAUAGUGAACCAGUACCGUGAGGGAAAGGCGAAAAGAACCCCGGCGAGGGGAGUGAAAAAGAACCUGAAACCGUGUACGUACAAGCAGUGGGAGCAUGCUUAGGCGUGUGACUGCGUACCUUUUGUAUAAUGGGUCAGCGACUUAUAUUCUGUAGCAAGGUUAACCGAAUAGGGGAGCCGAAGGGAAACCGAGUCUUAACUGGGCGUUAAGUUGCAGGGUAUAGACCCGAAACCCGGUGAUCUAGCCAUGGGCAGGUUGAAGGUUGGGUAACACUAACUGGAGGACCGAACCGACUAAUGUUGAAAAAUUAGCGGAUGACUUGUGGCUGGGGGUGAAAGGCCAAUCAAACCGGGAGAUAGCUGGUUCUCCCCGAAAGCUAUUUAGGUAGCGCCUCGUGAACUCAUCUCCGGGGGUAGAGCACUGUUUCGGCAAGGGGGUCAUCCCGACUUACCAACCCGAUGCAAACUGCGAAUACCGGAGAAUGUUAUCACGGGA
rnacentral:rRNA from 1 species